rnacentral:rRNA from 1 species
AGGUUGGCUCAGAAGCAGCCAUCCUUUAAAGAGUGCGUAACAGCUCACUAGUCGAGUGAUCCUGCGCCGAAAAUGUACCGGGGCUAAGCCUGAUACCGAAACUGCGGAUUGUAGGAAACUAUAGUGGUAGGGGAGCGUUGUAUACGAGCAGAAGCCGUACCGUGAGGAGCGGUGGAUUGUAUAGAAGUGAGAAUGCCGGUGUGAGUAGCGAGAUGUAGGUGAGAAUCCUACACACCGAAAGCCCAAGGAUUCCAGGGGAAGGUUCGUCCGCCCUGGGUAAGUCGGGACCUAACGCGAGGCCGAAAGGCGUAGUGGAUGGAAAGCAGGCGAAAGAUUCCUGCACCCGUAUAUGGAGCGAAGGAGUGACGGAGACGGAUAGUGUGACCCUCUUAAUGGAUUGAGGGCGAAGCGAAGCGGCUGGUUACCAGGCAAAUCCGGUAACCAUAAGGCUAGAGCGUGACAGGUAAGCGAAAUCUUAGGAAAGUAGCGAAGCACAUGAUGACGGCUUCCAGGAAAAGCUUCUGGCAAUGCAUAUGCGGCCCGUACCAAAACCGACACAGGUGGGCAGGGAGAGAAUCCCGAGGUGAGCGAGAGAACUGUUGCCAAGGAACUCGGCAAAAUGACUCCGUAAGUUAGCGAGAAGGAGUGCUUAAGCAAUUAAGCCGCAGUGAAGAGGCCCAAGCGACUGUUUAACUAAAACACAGCUCUCUGCGAAGUCGCAAGACGAAGUAUAGGGGGUGACACCUGCCCGGUGCUGGAAGGUUAAGAGGAUCUGUUAAGAGCGAUCUGAAGCAGUGAUCCGAAGCCCCAGUGAACGGCGGCCGUAACUAUAACGGUCCUAAGGUAGCGAAAUUCCUUGUCAGGUAAGUUCUGACCCGCACGAAAGGUGUAACGAUUUGGGCGCUGUCUCGGCAGCAGACUCGGUGAAAUCUUAGUACCUGUGAAAAUGCAGGUUACCCGCAACUAGACGGAAAGACCCCAUGGAGCUUUACUGCAGCCUGAUAUUGAAUUCUGGUCAUACAUGUACAGGAUAGGUGGGAGACAAAGAGACGUGCACGCCAGUGUACGAGGAGUCGACGUUGGGAUACCACUCUUGUGUGACCGGGGUUCUAACCUGGUAUCGAGAACAGGUACGGGGAGAGUGUCAGGUGGGCAGUUUGACUGGGGCGGUCGCCUCCAAAAGAGUAACGGAGGCGCUCAAAGGU